AGCGAACGCUGGCGGCAGGCCUAACACAUGCAAGUCGAACGAACCUUUCGGGGUUAGUGGCGGACGGGUGAGUAACACGUGGGAACGUGCCUUUAGGUUCGGAAUAACUCAGGGAAACUUGUGCUAAUACCGAAUGUGCCCUUCGGGGGAAAGAUUUAUCGCCUUUAGAGCGGCCCGCGUCUGAUUAGCUAGUUGGUUGAGGUAAUGGCUCACCAAGGCGACGAUCAGUAGCUGGUCUGAGAGGAUGAUCAGCCACAUUGGGACUGAGACACGGCCCAAACUCCUACGGGAGGCAGCAGUGGGGAAUCUUGCGCAAUGGGCGAAAGCCUGACGCAGACAUGCCGCGUGAAUGAUGAAGGUCUUAGGAUUGUAAAAUUCUUUCACCGGGGACGAUAAUGACGGUACCCGGAGAAGAAGCCCCGGCUAACUUCGUG
rnacentral:rRNA from 1 species